UAAUAUCCAACGAGUAAGUCGCUCUGGAUAAGAGCGUCUGCUAAAUGACUUAAA
rfam:Salmo salar isolate Sally breed double haploid chromosome ssa11, whole genome shotgun sequence.